rnacentral:rRNA from 1 species
UGGGGAAUCUUCCACAAUGGACGCAAGUCUGAUGGAGCAACGCCGCGUGAGUGAAGAAGGGUUUCGGCUCGUAAAGCUCUGUUGUUAAAGAAGAACGUGGGUAAGAGUAACUGUUUACCCAGUGACGGUAUUUAACCAGAAAGCCACGGCUAACUACGUGCCAA